rnacentral:rRNA from 1 species
UACAGAGGUCUCAAGCGUUGUUCGGAUUCAUUGGGCGUAAAGGGUGCGUAGGCGGCGCGGUAAGUCGGGUGUGAAAUCUCGGAGCCUAACUCCGAAACUGCAUUCGAUACUGCCGUGCUUGAGGACUGGAGAGGAGACUGGAAUUUACGGUGUAGCGGUGAAAUGCGUAGAUAUCGUAAGGAAGACCAGUGGCGAAGGCGGGUCUCUGGACAGUUCCUGACGCUGAGGCACGAAGGUCAGGGGAGCAAACGGG